rnacentral:rRNA from 1 species
UGCAGUCGAGCGCCCCGCAGGGGGAGCGGCAGACGGGUGAGUAACGCGUGGGAAUCUACCCAUCACUACGGAAUAACUCCGGGAAACUGGAGCUAAUACCGUAUACGUCCUUCGGGAGAAAGAUUUAUCGGUGAUGGAUGAGCCCGCGUUGGAUUAGCUAGUUGGUGGGGUAAUGGCCUACCAAGGCGACGAUCCAUAGCUGGUCUGAGAGGAUGAUCAGCCACACUGGGACUGAGACACGGCCCACACUCCUACGGGAGGCAGCAGUGGGGAAUAUUGGACAAUGGGCGCAAGCCUGAUCCAGCCAUGCCGCGUGAGUGAUGAAGGCCCUAGGGUUGUAAAGCUCUUUCAACGGUAAAGAUAAUGACGGUCACCGUAAAAAAAGCCCCGGCUAACUUCGUGCCAGCGCCCCCGGGAAUACUCCGUGCCAGGGGGCGGGGGGGUGAGAGGGGCCUCGUU